AUUGAUAAAUUAAAAUCAAAGUCAAAGUGUCACCUUAUUAAUAAAGAUGAUACAUAAAUAAAAUUUAAUAACAAAUUAUAAAAAUUCAAAAUUCAUUAAAAUGACAAAAAUAGAAUAAUUAAUUUUGUAAUUAGGAUCAUUUAUUUAAGACGCUUAAAGGAAAAAAAAUCAAAAAUGGAUUUUUUAUUUAAAAUAACCAUUUAUUUAAAAAAAAUCGAAAAUUAUCAAUUAUUCAAAAAAAUUACCAAAAUAACCGUGGUUUGAAGAGGAUGCGUCAGAC
rnacentral:lncRNA from 1 species